GGGGAAUCUUGGACAAUGGGCGCAAGCCUGAUCCAGCCAUGCCGCGUGAGUGAAGAAGGCCUUCGGGUUGUAAAGCUCUUUUGUCAGGGACGAUAAUGACGGUACCUGAAGAAUAAGCCCCGGCAAACUUCGUGCCAGCAGCCGCGGUAAUACGAAGGGGGCUAGCGUUGUUCGGAAUUACUGGGCGUAAAGCGCACGUAGGCGGGUGAUUAAGUCAGGGGUGAAAUCCCAGAGCUCAACUCUGGAACUGCCUUUGAUACUGGUCAUCUUGAGUUCGGAAGAGGUUAGUGGAAUUCCCAGUGUAGAGGUGAAAUUCGUAGAUAUUGGGAAGAACACCAGUGGCGAAGGCGGCUAACUGGUCCGAUACUGACGCUGAGGUGCGAAAGCGUGGGGAGCAAAC
rnacentral:rRNA from 1 species